GGAAGAAAAGUAUAUUGUUAAUACCAAUGUACCGUGACAUUACUUACAGAAUAAGGACCGGCUAAUUCCGUGCCAGCAGCCGCGGUAAUACGGAAGGUCCAAGCGUUAAUCGGAAUUACUGGGCGUAAAGCGCGCGUAGGUGGUUUAUUAAGUUGGGUGUGAAAGCCCCGGGCUCAACCUGGGAACUGCAUCCAAAACUGAUUCACUAGAGUACGAAAGAGGGAGGUAGAAUUCACAGUGUAGCGGUGGAAUGCGUAGAUAUUGUGAAGAAUACCAAUGGCGAAGGCAGCCUCCUGGUUCUGUACUGACACUGAGGUGCGAAAGCGUGGGUAGCGAACAGGAUUAGAUACCCUGGUAGUCCACGCCGUAAACGAUGACAACCAGCUGUUGGGAAGCAAUGCUUUUCAGUGGCGCAGCUAACGUCUUAAGUUGUCCGCCUGGGGAGUACGGCCGCAAGGUUAAAACUCAAAUGAAUUGACGGGGACCCGCACAAGCGGUGGAGCAUGUGGUUUAAUUCGAUGCAACGCGAAAAACCUUACCUACUCUUGACAUCCUUGGAAUCUCUUGUAAUGAGAGAGUGCCUUUUGGAACCAAGUGACAGGUGCUGCAUGGCUGUCGUCAGCUCGUGUCGUGAGAUGUUCCGUUAAGUCGGAUAACGAGCGCAACCCUUACCCUUAUUUGCCAGCGAUUCGGUCGGGAACUAUAAGGGGACUGCCGGUGAUAAACCGGAGGAAGGUGAGGACGACGUCAAGUCAUCAUGGCCCUUACGAGUAGGGCUACACACGUGCUACAAUGGG
rnacentral:rRNA from 1 species